rnacentral:tRNA from 1 species
CGAGGUGUGGCUCAGUUUGGCUAGAGUACCUGGUUUGGGACCAGGGGGUCGCAGGUUCAAAUCCUGUCACCUCGGC